rnacentral:ncRNA from 1 species
CCGAGUAGCACGGGGGCCCUGAAAUCCCCGUGUGAAUCUGCCAAGACCACUUGGUAAGCCUAAAUACUACCUGGUGACCGAUAGCGGACAAGUACCGUGAGGGGAAAAGGUGAAAAAGUACCCCCCGGGGAGGGGGAGUGAAAAUAGUACCUGAAAACCGGAUGCUUUACAAAUCCGUCGGAGCCUCCAUGGCUGGGGGUGACGGCGUGCCUUUUUUGAAGAAUGAGCCUGCGAGUUUAGUGGGCAUGUGGGCGAGGGUUUAAACCCCCGGGGGUGGGGGGGRAAGCCCGUAGCGAAAAGCGAGUCCCGAAACAGGGGGCGCACCCAGUCGCGUGCUCUAGACCCCGAAAGCGGGAGUGAUCUACCCCAUGGGGCAGGGUUUGAAAGCACGUGUAAAGAGCGUGUGGGAGGGACCCGAAACCCCACUUUAGGGUUUGAAAAAACUGAGGGGGGAUGACCCUGUGGGGGUAGGGGGGUGAAAAGGCCCAAUCAAAACUCCCGUGAUAGCUGGUUCUCCCCCGAAAUGCAUUUAGGUGCAGCGUCAUGUGUUUCUUUGCCGGAGGUAGAGCUACUGGGAUGGCCGAUGGGCCCCUACAAGGUUACU